AACUGCAUUUUUUACACAUGUGUUUUUCUUUUUUUGAAAACUUUGCUUUGGUGGGCCCAUGGCCUGCCAGAGAUUAAACUCAACCAAAUUUUAUUUAAUCAACUGAUUAACUAAUAGUCAAAACUUUCAACAACGGAUCUCUUGGUUCUCGCAUCGAUGAAGAACGCAGCGAAAUGCGAUAAGUAAUAUGAAUUGCAGAUAUUCGUGAAUCAUCGAAUCUUUGAACGCACAUUGCGCCCUUUGGUAUUCCAAAGGGCAUGCCUGUUUGAGCGUCAUUUCUCCCUCAAACCUUCGGGUUUGGUGUUGAGCGAUACGCUGGGUUUGCUUGAAAGAAAGGCGGAGUAUAAACUAAUGGAUAGGUUUUUUCCACUCAUUGGUACAAACUCCAAAAUUCUUCCAAAUUCGACCUCAAAUCAGGUAGGACUACCCGCUGAACUUAAGCAUAUCAAUAAGCGGAGG
rnacentral:rRNA from 1 species